rnacentral:rRNA from 1 species
UCGCCCUUAGAUUUGUCCUCGCUCAGAAACGAACGCUGGCGGCAGGCUUAACACAUGCAAGUCGAACGCCCCGCAAGGGGAGUGGCAGACGGGUGAGUAACGCGUGGGAACAUACCCUUUCCUGCGGAAUAGCUCCGGGAAACUGGAAUUAAUACCGCAUACGCCCUACGGGGGAAAGAUUUAUCGGGGAAGGAUUGGCCCGCGUUGGAUUAGCUAGUUGGUGGGGUAAAGGCCUACCAAGGCGACGAUCCAUAGCUGGUCUGAGAGGAUGAUCAGCCACAUUGGGACUGAGACACGGCCCAAACUCCUACGGGAGGCAGCAGUGGGGAAUAUUGGACAAUGGGCGCAAGCCUGAUCCGGCCAUGCCGCGUGAGUGAUGAAGGCCUUAGGGUUGUAAAGCUCUUUCACCGGAGAAGAUAAUGACGGUAUCCGGAGAAGAAGCCCCGGCUAACUUCGUGCCAGCAGCCGCGGUAAUACGAAGGGGGCUAGCGUUGUUCGGAAUUACUGGGCGUAAAGCGCACGUAGGCGGAUAUUUAAGUCAGGGGUGAAAUCCCAGAGCUCAACUCUGGAACUGCCUUUGAUACUGGGUAUCUUGAGUAUGGAAGAGGUAAGUGGAAUUCCGAGUGUAGAGGUGAAAUUCGUAGAUAUUCGGAGGAACACCAGUGGCGAAGGCGGCUUACUGGUCCAUUACUGACGCUGAGGUGCGAAAGCGUGGGGAGCAAAUAGGAUUAGAUACCCUGGUAGUCCACGCCGUAACGAUGAAUGUUAGCCGUCGGGCAGUAUACUGUUCGGUGGCGCAGCUAACGCAUUAAACAUUCCGCCUGGGGAGUACGGUCGCAAGAUUAAAACUCAAAGGAAUUGACGG